UACGAAGGGGGCUAGCGUUGUUCGGAAUUACUGGGCGUAAAGGGCGCGUAGGCGGUCCUUCAAGUCAGGCGUGAAAGCCCCGGGCUCAACCUGGGAACCGCGCUUGAGACUGGCGGGCUAGAGUUCGGGAGAGGAUGGUGGAAUUCCCAGUGUAGAGGGGAAAUUCGUAGAUAUUGGGAAGAACACCGAUGGCGAAGGCAGCCAUCUGGACCGACACUGACGCUGAGGCGCGAAAGCGUGGGGAGCAAACAGG
rnacentral:rRNA from 1 species